AUAAGCGGAGGAAAAGAAACCAACAGGGAUUGCCCCAGUAACGGCGAGUGAAGCGGCAACAGCUCAAAUUUGAAAUCUGGCCCCAGGCCCGAGUUGUAAUUUGCAGAGGAUGCUUUUGGCGCGGUGCCUUCCGAGUUCCCUGGAACGGGACGCCAUAGAGGGUGAGAGCCCCGUACGGUUGGACACCAAGUCUUUGUAAAGCUCCUUCGACGAGUCGAGUAGUUUGGGAAUGCUGCUCAAAAUGGGAGGUAUAUUUCUUCUAAAGCUAAAUAUUGGCCAGAGACCGAUAGCGCACAAGUAGAGUGAUCGAAAGAUGAAAAGCACUUUGAAAAGAGGGUUAAACAGCACGUGAAAUUGUUAAAAGGGAAGCGCUUAUGACCAGACUUGCGCCCGGUGAAUCACCCAGCUCUCGCGGCUGGGGCACUUUGCCGGCUCAGGCCAGCAUCAGCUCGCUGUCGGGGACAAAAGCUUCGGGAACGUAGCUCUCUUCGGGGAGUGUUAUAGCCCGUUGCACAAUACCCUUCGGCGGGCUGAGGUACGCGCUCCGCAAGGAUGCUGGCGUAAUGGUCAUCAGCGACCCGUCUUGAAACACGGACCAAGAGAGUCAACCUUAUGUGCG
rnacentral:rRNA from 1 species